rnacentral:rRNA from 1 species
CAAUCGAACCCGGAGAUAGCUGGUUCUCCUCGAAAUAGCUUUAGGGCUAGCCUCGAUUUAGUCUUAUGGAGGUAGAGCACUGAAUUUCCGCGGGGGCGUCAAAGCUUACCAAAGAAUAUCAAACUCCGAAUGCCAUGUAGAUGAUGAUCGGGAGUCAGACUGCACGAGAUAAGUUGGGCAGUCAAAAGGGAAAGAGCCCAGACCACCGGCUAAGGUCCCAAAGUGCGUGUUAAGUGGAAAAGGAUGUGGGAAUUCGAAGACAACUAGGAUGUUGGCUCAGAAGCAGCCAUACAUUCAAAGAGUGCGUAACAGCUCACUAGUCGAGAGUUCCUGCGCCGAAAAUGUCCGGGGCUGAAACACGACACCGAAGCCGUGGACUCGCAAUGCGAGUGGUAGAGGAGCAUUCUUAAAACCGACGAAGCUGUACCGGAAGGAGCAGUGGAGGGAUAAGAAGAGAGAAUGCCGGAAUGAGUAGCGAGAGAAAGGUGGGAAUCCUUUCGGCCGAAUAUCUAAGGUUUCCAGAGUAAAGCUGAUCUGCUCUGGGUAAGUCGGGGCCUAAGCACAGGUCGCAAGACGUAAGCGAUGGAUAACAGGUUUAGAUUCCUGUACCACGCAUUAUCAGAACUGUAGGGACGCAUGUGGAAAGCACGAGCCGGGAAUGGAAAGACCGGUACAAGCGGGGUAGGUGUACAACAGGCAAAUCCGUUGUAUGAUCCGAAGACGUGAUGUGGAGCGAAAUAAAGUAGUGAAGCGUGUGAGCCAUGUGCCGAGAAAAGCUGCUAUUGUGUAAUGCGUGCCCGUACCGUAAACCGACACAGGUGGAUGAGGAGAGAAUCCUAAGGCCGACGGAAGAAGCAUUGUUAAGGAAUUCGGCAAAAUGACCCCGUAACUUCGGGAGAAGGGGUGCCUGCGAGAGCAGGCCGCAGAGAAUAGGCUCAAGCAACUGUUUAGCAAAAACACAGGUCUAUGCGAAACCGAAAGGUGAAGUAUAUGGGCUGACGCCUGCCCGGUGCUGGAAGGUUAAGAGGAGAGGUUAGCGCAAGCGAAGCUUUGAAUUUAAGCCCCAGUAAACGGCGGCCGUAACUAUAACGGUCCUAAGGUAGCGAAAUUCCUUGUCGGGUAAGUUCCGACCCGCACGAAAGGCGUAAUGAUUUGAGCACUGUCUCGACAAUGCAUCCGGUGAAAUUGAAGUACCAGUGAAGAUGCUGGUUACCCGCGCCAGGACGGAAAGACCCCAUGGAGCUUUACUCCAGUUUGAUACUGGGAUUCGGUACUGCAUGUACAGGAUAGGUGGGAGACGAAGAAGGAUGGACGCCAGUCUGUCCGGAGUCGCUGUUGGGAUACCACCCCUGUAGUACUGGGUUUCUAACCAGUUGCCAUGAACUGGCAAUGGGACAAUGUCAGGCGGGGAGUUUGACUGGGGCGGUCGCCUCCGAAAGGGUAUCGGAGGCGCUCAAAGGUUCCCUCAGAAUGGUUGGAAACCAUUCGAAGAGUGCAAAGGCAGAAGGGAGCUUGACUGCGACACCGACGGGUGGAGCAGGUACGAAAGUAGGACUUAGUGAUCCGGUGGUAUAAAGUGGGAUUGCCAUCGCUCAACGGAUAAAAGCUACCCUGGGGAUAACAGGCUUAUCACUCCCAAGAGUUCACAUCGACGGAGUGGUUUGGCACCUCGAUGUCGGCUCAUCGCAUCCUGGGGCUGUAGUAGGUCCCAAGGGUUGGGCUGUUCGCCCAUUAAAGCGGUACGCGAGCUGGGUUCAGAACGUCGUGAGACAGUUCGGUCCCUAUCCGGCGCGGGCGGAGGAUAUUUGAGAGGAGCUGUCCUUAGUACGAGAGGACCGGGAUGGACGGACCACUGGUGUAUCUGUUGUCGACCAACGGCAUGGCAGAGUAGCCAAGUCUGGAAGGGAUAAACGCUGAAGGCAUCUAAGCGUGAAGCCCCCCUCAAGAUGAGAUAUCCCUCCUUCGGGAGUAAGACCCCUUGAAGACUACAAGGUAGAUAGGGCAGAGGUGGAAGCAUGGCAACAUGUGGAGCUGACUGUUACUAAUAGGUCGAGGGCUUAAUCU